CAUCCUUGCUAACAUUUUUCGCUUUUAAUUCUGACAGGCUUUUGAAAGUCUUAGCCUCUGUUGAAUUUGCAAAAGAUCUCCAAUUUGAGAUUCUGAGUGAAGCUGAGCUGCUGCUGGCUGCUGAGCUUGGCUGUGUGUUGGCUGUUGGGGCUGGCUGCACGCCGGUUGCCAAGGGAACUGUGAAGGGGUGGUGCCUUGGGACACAUCUGCACCCUGACCACGCCCCCUCUCUGCUUGUGUCACCGUGGGAACGCGGACUCCUCGACCCCGGCCACGCCUCCUCCCUGAUUGCUGCGGCGCAGCCUCAGCUUUCGUCAUCUCGGGGGUGUGGAAAGGAACGCCCUCGCUCUGGCCGCGUCCCGCCUUCACUGGCUCCGACGCAGCCGCGCCCUUGGGAACGCCCCCCUCCUCCCCGGAACUGACAUCCUCACUGCCCCAACCCCAUUCUUCGCCACCCCAUUCCCAUUCUGGGUCUGGGGUCCCUGCUCUGCUUUGAUCAUCACUAGGAUCCUCCUCUCCUGACUCUGUGCCAACACCCACGUCCGGCGCACGCGACCCCCGCUCCGCUGGUCCCCGUGUCGCGCUCGCAAAACGGGAAAAAGCCCUCCCCGCUCCGGCUUCUGGGUUUUGCGUCAUUGGUGCCCGUCUGCCGCGCUCCGCCGCCGUCGCCAUCGCGGCGCUCGUCGCUGCUGCAUAUUCAGCGCCCGCGACUCCGUGCCUCGCCUUGGCUGGCCUGGCCCUGGCGGGCAUGGCCUUCGCGAACUGUGCGCCUUCCCCGGACGAUUGCUGUCUGGCUGCCUCCGUAGCCGCGCGAGCUUUUGUUAUCGCGCGCGUCACCGGACCCACUGAACGCACAACCGCCGCCGCCGCCCCUGCGGUUCUCGCUGUCCCCGUGGCCCCUCCGGCCGCUCUUGGUGCCGCCCUGAACCGCCGCCUGCAGCUCGACGUGGCUGCGGCGCGACUCUGCAAGACGCCAAGACACAGCUCCUCCUCCCCCUCCCCGGGUUCGCGAUCCCGACUGCACCCUCCCCCACCAGCCCCGCUGCCGCUUCCGCAGUGAGGCUUAGCUCUGGGAGAUCGCCCUCCCCCUCCUCACUUGGGAAAAUGGCUAAAUUUUGUUUUCCUGGGACUGGUAGGGGUGUUUCUGCGUCUGAGGAGUCUGAAGCUUCAGGGGACCCAAGGGACCCUGGGGAAUCCGUGAGUGAUGGCAAGUCCUCCUGCGCCUGUUCUGUGGGAGGCAUCUCUGUCUCUCCCAAAUCGGCAGAGGCAACUGCCAUCUGCUGAGUGUUGGGCAAUUCACCUCCCCCUCCCUCUAACUCUGGGAGAGUUUCUGCUGCCUGCUGCUGGCUGGCAGCCUUCCUGGCUUUUCGUGAAACGGCCUUGAGCAUCACCCUUGCUGAAGGCAAAAGCUUCACCGCCGCCUUAUCUUUCUUUAUGGCUAAAUGAUAAAGCUGUCUGUUGGUCUCUUGCCAAAACCCUGGCUCAAACAACAGAUGAGACUCUGAGUGUGGAUAGCUGCACCUCACCCAUAGCAAAAACUCUCUGAGUUCUUUCUCAGAAAUUUUCAUGGGAUGUGUGGCUGCCACGCCCUGUAGGGCUGGCAAAAUUCUAAGCUGCUCCUGGGAACAUGCAGCUCCCAUGUCCUCAGUGUUCUUAAUUUUGACCGUUCUUACCAAAGCUGAGUUGCCUUCAAAGCCGGUCCAGGGGUUUCCUGGUCACUGGCCAGCAGCUCACAGGUGGAGAAUGUCCAGGGCCCUUUGGUUAUCCUCCUUCCAGGUCAGUUUUGGAGCAAGUUGGCUUGGAAGAGGUCAGAUGGUCUGCUCUGGAAUCUCUUCUCGGUGGUGUGCCUAUUCCCGGGCUGUUCAGUGGUAUGGGUCUCUGGGUCCUUCUCUGACCAGAUCCCAGCGGUGCCUCCAAAAUCUCGGAUUUUCUGUUUUCGGGAUGACCCGAGAGUCCCUUUUUCCCAGCCCACUGGCCGAAGAAAGAGUCGGGAUUCUUCGGCUCGUGUUCACAAGGUUGUUUAUUAUCUAUUAUCUAAAAUAUUUUCCCUCAGACCCGCAGAGGUCUGAUCUGCAGGUCUGUCAAGGGCACACUGCCCACCCCUGGGCUGGUGUCUACAUUUUAUACUACGAGUUACGUAUACUUUAUUUAUCAUUAUUUUCCAAUACCUAUCAUCUACGUUAGACUGUCUACUUGUACUUUAGGCCAAUCUAAAUGUGCCACCAUCACCAAGAAGAUGGAGGGUAGGAAGAAGAAGGAAGAAGCAUAGGACAACGCCCAUGUCCUUCCAUCUUGUCUCCUAGACCCCCUAUAACAAAAUCCCCAAAACUCCAUUUUUCACCUGGUGAUUAAUUCAUUAUUACUCUACUUAAACUUCUGUGGCUUGUGAUUCUUCAUACAAGGUUGGUAAUUUGCUCCAUGGGUUAAGAUCGAAAUCCCAAGUGUCUUUGGCUUCCUGCCAGGGGCACAUGUCACCCAGGGGAAUGUCCUGGGUUCUGACAGUUCUGGAGUUUGUUUGCUUCCGCAAAUCAGGUCUUGGUUAUAUGAAAGGGGGAGCGAGUGAGUGAGUGUACCCAUGGCGGGGGGGGAGAGUUCUACCUGCAUCUGAGGUGGCCGAGCAGGCCCCAGGGAGGUGGCUGGGGAGAGGCAGCUGGUAGGCGCUGGCUGGGGCAGCUGUGGGGGCAAGAUAGCGUCUCUUGGGGAGGCAGUUAGGGAAAAGCAGAGCAAGCGGAGAAUUGUGGGUGAGGACACCUAGAGUGUUUUAAUGUGUUUGUGUAGAUCGUGCAUGUUUUAACCGUGGCUAGAUGAACUGAGGGGAUUCCACUGCCUCAGUGGUUUGGGCUUGACCCCUGGGAGUUUCUGAAUUCAGUAAAUCACUGGAUCCAGUUAAUAAUUUUACUGUGUGCUGCUAUUUUGAUUGUGUCCAGAGUGUGUGAAUGCCAGAGGAAGCUGAUGUGGGUGGAUGCUGAAGUGUUGUAUGCUGUGUUGUAUUGAAAAAAGUCAGCACUUUAAGAGAUACCCCCUUUCCUGGUGAGUUUGUGUGUGAACUUUCUAGUUUCAGGGAACGGUAUUCCCUGUGACACCUGGUGUUUGAUUAUAACCAGUCUCUUGUCAACACUUUGUGUUUGGGUAUUAACCGAUCCUUUGCCUGUGGAACCUGAGAGGCAAGGGACAGACACUGUAGCAUGGUGCCCUUGUGAUCCUUCUUGUGGAGUUUGCAAAGUUGCUCUGUUAGAGCUGUAAUAGAGACAGCUUGUUAUAGUUUACUCUCGUGAAUUUGAGGUACGGGGGGUUUAUGUGAUUCUUCCCCCACAUUGUGGUAAUUUGAUUCUCAGGACUGUAUGGUUGUGUUUGUGGAGAUUUUAGGAUUUUGUUUGCAACAAGUGCAGCAUUUUAUGCAGAAAAACUACAGUAUGGUGAUUUAUGUUUAACUGUUGUAAAGCGAAUUAAAGGAAUUCCAGGAAUUCCCCUUCCGAAGCAACUUAAGCCUUGACUCUUGGGGGGGGGGGGGGAGUGUGUAUUUGUGGGCAUAUAACAGUUUUUGCUGUAACAGGGUGUGAAAAAAUGUUUUUGUGAUUCAUGUCAAUUGGCAAUGGAAUCAGCAAAUGCUUGAAUCUGCUGUGUUGAAAGCGGAUGCGUUCCCUGGGAUAACUACAAAGCACGGUUUUGAAACUUUCUGACCAAAUAGCCAAAUAAAGCAUUGAACAGAAAAACAGAAGAUUUAUAGUAAAGAGAUGAGGUAGCAAAAAUUACUGACGCUUAGAAUAAAAUAGAGGAAGUUGUGGAAAAGCUAAGGGAUAUAGCAACAAAGUGACUAAAUGCUUAUGUAUAAUUAAAAGCUUGAUGCACUGGUACCAGACUAAAAUUAUGUAGCAGACACUGGUGAAAUGCCUCUCUCCAGAUGACCACAAGAAGGACAGGAAGCCAACGACUACCUGGAAAGAUUAUGAAAUUGCUGAUCCCAGCUUAUUGAUAUCUGCUGAUUCGGACUAACACAAGCACACUGGGAAAUGAUUUGUAGGCUUAAAAACUGUAUAUACUUUGCCAAACUUGUAAGUGGCAUGCGCCGUUAGUGGAGCAGUGACUCCCCGGCCACUCAGCGCUGCUUGCUUGCUUGCUUGCUUUAAAAUAAAAGAUAUAAAAAUGAAAUUUAGUUUGGCUAUCAAAAUUUUAUAUCACAGGGACAGCCUUUUGCAAGGCAGCAAAGUGAGUGUGCCCUGUGUCAGUGGAAACAAUACUUUAAUUGAAGUUUGGAUUGUGUGGGAAAAGAACUGGAAAAUACUUAGAUUUUGGAAAGCAAAGUUUAGGUGGAAGAAACCAAGACAGGCACUUUGUCAUUUGUGUUAUCCUAAGGAAACAAAGGCUACUCAGAGAGCUAUAAGGAUUUGAGUAGCAACCGGUCGCGAGAAUCAAGGAAGUAAUAGGAUGUUUGAAUUAUUAGAAAAGAGAGUUUCAAGUAAUUUAAGAAACCCAGCAGAAAUAAUUAAAGCUGAGUGUGCUCAGCCUAUUUUUAUACCCCAAGACUUUUAAAUUAAGUUUGGGAUGAAGUAGAAAAAUGGAUACUAUGAAAAUGGAAUUUUUAGUAGACACGGGGGCAACAUAGUGUUAAAUAAAGCCUUGAUGCCUAUAACAGAUGAUUAUGUUAUGGUAAGGGGGCAACUGGCCAAUCUGAAAAAGCAUAUUUUGCAAACCAUCAAAAUAUAAACUUGGAAAACAAGUGAGGAUUCACAGGUUUUUGUAUAUGCCCAGCUCUCCAAAGGCACUGUUGGUUAGGGAUUUGUUGGAGCAGCUAGAAGCAAAGACCACAUUUAAAGAUGGGGAGAUUAUUUUGGAGGUAAAGGAUCAGCAAUACAUAGACAUACUAAGCUUAAUGUUAACAAUUAAUGAGAUCAAAAUUGAAAAUGAGGAUGAAAUUGAUAAGAAAAUAAUGGAUCAGGUGUUUCCUGGGGUAUGGGCCUCUAACAUACCAGGGAGGGCAAAGAAUGCACCUCCUGUGCAAGUUAAGGAAAACAAUCAGUUAGGGUCAGGCAGUAAAAAGCCUGAUUUGCACCCGGUGGUGGCAAACCCAUACACCUUGCUAACAUGUUUGACACCUGAACUAACCUGGUUUACCAUUUUAGAUUUGAAGGAUGCCUUCUUUUGCCUCCCUCUCCAUGAAGCCAGACAAAAGAUUUUUGCCUUCGAAUGGGAGAAUCCCAAGAGUGGGCGUAAGACUCGGCUCACAUGGAUGGUAUUGCCCCAAGGUUUAACAACAGCCCCAGGAUAUUUGGAGAACAACAACCUGCAAGGGAUCUAGAGUCCUGGGAUGUUCCAUCAGAGGAAGGACAGCUGCUCCAAUAUGUAGACAACCUCCUGAUAGCUAACCGAACCAAAGAGGCAUGUGUGGAUUAGAUGUGGGAUACAGGAGAACCAGUGAUCCAUAGUUGCCUGGAAGCUAUCAAGGCCACCUACUCCAGUCAUCCAGAUUUGAAGGAUACCCCCCUUGAUAAUGCAGAGACCUGGUUCACUGGUGGAAACAGUUAUGUCAUCAGCAGAAAGAGACAUGCUGGGUGUACUGUCAUCACUUGCAGAGAGGUAAUAGAAUCUCGACUACUACCAAGAAACACCUCUGCACAAAAGACUGAGAAUUGGCAAACUCAAGGUAUGCAUUUGAGGUUGUGCAUGCACACAGAGCAAUUUAGAUGCACAAGAAAGAAUGAAACUGUUAGAAGCUGUCCAGCUACCUGAGAAUGCAUAUCAAGGCAUACUAGAAAGUGAGCUCAGAAUUGGAGGAAGGAAAUGAUAUGGCCGACAGAGAGGCAAAAGAAGCAGCAAAAGUCUCUUACAGAAAAGACUUUGUAACCACAGUGGGAAGGACCAUUCCAAAUGCUUCUCACCACUUUCACUGCAAUUAAGACCAAGGAGCAGAAUGCCUGGAUCCACCACUCUUGAGUGAAGAAGGCCCCAGAAGCCCCUUGGAGAGUGACACUGGGAGACAAUGAACUGAAACGAAAACUUAAUCAGGCAAAAUGAGUAUAUUACAGCCGGGAGUAGUUAGUAAUUUCAUUUGCAGAAUUGUUUGGUGUGUAAUAGCAAUUGAAGUCUUAGAAUUAGAGGGUACCUCUAUUCAAAAUGAUGCUGAGUGGCCUUGGUCCCAAGCUUUUAUUCGUGUCGUGGUUUGACCAGGAAGUGAGUUUCUGGGAAAGUUAUGGUCAAACCAAUCAGUGGCCAGAUUUGAAAAUUGGCACCUGUUGUGGCCACUGGGGAUCUGGAUACGCCUCUGAGAACACACAGGGGUUAAAAGCAGAGGAUUCCCAGAGAGACUUUCUCUUUUUGGAGUCCAGCGGUGAGUCGGUGAGUCGAAUCUGACCUCCUCCCCUGCCCAGCUUCGUCUGGGUGGGGGAGGCCAUGCGGCCUGUGAGAAGGGAGGCCGGAGCCCUGCAAGGUGCAGGGGUGGAGGACAACUGGGAUGUUUUGGGCAGCCCCCCCGGAGAGAGUGAUAGAGACUGUGCUGGCUUGAAAAUUGAUAUCUUGUGCCGGCACCAUGGCCAGGAGAAGAAGGGAGGAGGGAGGGCAAGGUGCCCAGCCGCCGGCAGACCGUGGCUGAGGUUUUAACCCCAUUGGUGCUGAAACAAUGGAAGCUGUAAGAAACACUGAUCCUCCCUAGCUGAGACCUGAGAGGGGACGGAGGAUGGGCAGAUGAGAUGAAGGCUUGAGUGAGUGCAGAAAUACCAGCAAAUGAGAAGCACCCUAGAUAGAGGAGAUGAUUUGGAGUGGCGUUGGCUGGACUUUUCUCUUACAUGGCCACAGGACGGAACCAAAUCUUCCUGUAAUGUAGAGACUGCACCUUGGGGGAGGCGGUUGGCCAGAAGCCAGGAGUGACAAGGCCAUUAUGAUAAGUAGAGGGAACAGAGACUGAUGGGGAGGGUGUGGUGGAGCCCUCUGCCUUCAGCAAAGGAUCUCUGUUCCUGAGACCCCCAGGCCCCAGGGGAGUAAAUAUGGGGGGGACAGGUGUCCCAAAUGGUGAGAGGCUGCCACUUCUUGGAACUGGGCAAGGCAUUCUUAAAAGGACCUAAGAAGCAGUUUGGAUCCAUGGACAGUGGUGAGAGCACUGGACAUGGAAGGAAGAUAGUCACCACGGCAGAUUCUCUCUGGGCAGCUGCCACGUGUGACAUGGAAGCACAGGAGGUUCCAAUUGUGUUUCCUGGGGAGGCCCAUGGUGCAAGAGGGAGACUCCUCUCUCCUGAUGAACUGGGGGAGGUUGUGUGGAGGAUGGUAUUGGAUUGAGAAUUGAGUGUUAGAGGGGAUUGAGUGUUAGAGGGGUGGAGGGAGGAGGAGUGUUUUGGAGGUAUUCCGUUGUGGAUUGUUGUGUGUGGGUUUUUUCCCUUUUUUUUUCUUUCCCUUUUGUCUCUUAUGCUGUAGAUUAAUAAAGUGUUGGGUUUUUUUCCCCUCCAUUUCCAAGUUGGAGCCUGCUUUGUUCUGUUUCCGGGUCACAUCUCACAGUAACCAUUUUGGAAAUAUACCUUUCAUGGGGGCACUGGCAUUGUGCCAGUGUCAAACCAUGACAAUUCGGUACACUGGAUUCAUGGGAAAACAUUCUGAUGUAAAGGAUUUAAAUCUAUCAACUGUAGUAAUGCAUGGGAAUCAGGUAUAUGGGGAGCAGGAGUGGCAAAAACGGGAACUGUGGACACUUCAAGGGAUCAGAGGAGAAGAAAUCAGGGUAGGAUGCCAGAUGGUCAAUGGGACCACCCAUAAGAGACCAAAUCAAAUUACUGUUUCAGCUUCUACAUACAGGCACCAGGAGGUUUGUGGUAGCCCAAGUAAACCAGGCUGUUGGUAUAAUUUCACAUUGAUACAGCCUGUAGAGGUGACCUGUCUUUGGGCUCAUGGUGCUAUUGGACUCUCAUUCAAAUUUAAAAUAGAUGCUAUAUCUCUUACAACAGCAGGACCUCAUACAACUCACGCCAGUACUCAAGCAGCUCAAACCCAAAACAAACUUGAACCUAAGGUCUAUGAAAUAGGCCAUACAACUGUUGUUUAAUCCAGAGUGGUCUCUCAAACGUGUCAAAUUGCUGAUGCAAAUCAGCAUAUCAGAAAUCCAACCAGCCUGCUCCUCUUUCCUGAGGACAUCCUUCGAGGGCUGGACAACGUGGUUAUAAAGACAAAUACACCUCAGGAGCAGAAUAAGAAGGGAUUUAACUGGGAUGUUAGGGACAGGAUUGGGAGUUUUAAAUGGAAUUGACUCAGAAAUAUUAAUGAACAAGCUUGCCACUGCAACAAGUGAUCUAACAAAACUAAACCAGCCCCUGUAGUCAUCUUUAUUAGCAUUAGGAACUAGCCAGUGGCAGAUUUCAAAAGUGCUACCAAAAUGGGAAAAGGCCAGGGACCAAGACCACAAGUUAAUAGUAGAGGCACAUACUAUGGUUCAAGACAUUGUGGCUGGGACUCCAAAACGCGGUAUUAUU